rnacentral:rRNA from 1 species
GACGAACGCUGGCGGCGUGCUUAACACAUGCAAGUCGAACGGAAAGGCCCUGCUUUUGUGGGGUGCUCGAUUGGCGAACGGGUGAGUAACACGUGAGUAACCUGCCCUUGACUUUGGGAUAACUUCAGGAAACUGGGGCUAAUAUCGGAUAGGAGCUCCUGCUGCAUGGUGGGGGUUGGUGAGUUUCGGCGGUUGGGGAUGGACUCGCUGGUUAUCCGCUGGUUUGUGGGGUAGGGGCUUACCAAGGCUUUGAGGGGUAGCCGGCCUGAGCGGGUGGCCGGCGACCAUGGGCCUGCGAUACGGCCCAGAAUCCUACGGGAGGCAGCAGUGGAGAAUAUUGCAGAAUGGGCGGAAGCCUGAUGCAGCAACGCCGCGUGCGGGAUGCCGGGCUUCGGGUUGUAAACAAAUUUCGAAUGUGACAAAGAGUGAGUGACGGUAAUGGGUAAAGAAGCCACGGCUAACUACGUG